GUCAGUGUCUGCCCAGACCCAUCAGAAGGCCAAGCAGCGGGUGCAGUAGGUUGUGUCGUCUGUUAAAGGUUGUGAUUGGAGCGAAAAUCAGUAGGAAGUAAGAAUGGAGUGGUCUAGGCUUGUGAGUCUGGGGCGUGUUGAGGACAUGGAGAAGAAGCGUGUUGAAGCCCAUGGGAACUCACAGAUAGAUUGGACCAAGAUGGACACACUGACUACCCAAUUCAUGAAGUCACAUCGCAGUUUGGCUGAGGCAAACCAGAGUUACUCAACCUUGGAGGAAUUGAUCACUAUUAUGGAUAGAGAAGAGGUUGAAUUAAAAGCUCAGCUACAUCACCUGAAGGUUUCCACUCAACCUUAUACAGCAAGAGGUCCACAACACUGUACAACUGAG